rnacentral:lncRNA from 1 species
AUCCUUGCAAUUUUUUUUUUGAUUUCCUAAUUUAUCACUUUUAGAAGUUUAAUAUUAAAAAUAUCCUUUUAACAUUACAAGUUAUUUUAAAUAUACUUUUAGAAAUAAAUUCCGUUAGUAAACGGUUAGCAACAAUCGUUAUUACUGUAAAAUUACUAUUUUACCAUUUUAAAUAUACCCUUCUAUAAUUUAAAAUUACUGUAAAAUUACUAUUUACAGUAAUAGUUGUUACUGUAAAAUUACUGUAAAAUUACUAUUUUACUGUAAAAUUACUGUAAAAUUACUAACUGUAAAAUUACUAUUUACAGUAAUCGUUAUUACUGUAAUUUUACUGUAAAAUUACUGUAAAAUUACUAUUUUACCCUUUUAAAUAUACCCUUCUAUCAUUUAAAAUUACUGUAAAAUUAUUAUUUACAGUAAUCGUUAUUACUGUAAAAUUCCGUUAGUAAACGGUUAGCAACAAUCAUUAUUACUGUAAAAUUACUAUUUUACCCUUUUAAAUAUACCCUUCUAUCAUCAUCAACUUUUUUUAUUUACUUGUAAGUUAGGAACAAAAAAAUAUUUGUCCUUAGAGGUAUUUUGAUUUUUUUUUUAACUCC